GUUGUUGGAGAUGUUCAGCUGCACCAGAUUGCUGAGCACGGAGAAACUGUAUGGGGAGAUCAAGGUUAGGUUGUUGGAGCUAAGAUCAAGGUAGAUGAGUUUGAAGACCCCGAUGAAGGUAUAAUCCAUCACCUCGCGAAUCAGGUUAUUCCGACAGUCCAAGUAAACAAGGUCACUGAGGAGUCCUAGAUUCAUCGCUGGCAAAAACGUGAUGCGGUUAUCAUUCAAGUAUAGCCUCCGGGUGCUCAGGGGUACAUCAGCGGGGUACUCGGCUAACUGGAUCCCUGUGCAGAUCACUUCCUGGGCUUGACACUGACAAUUAUUUGGACACUUUGACCCCGAGACCAGUCCCAUUCCAAAGGAAAAGAGUAACCACCCGGGGCCAGGGCCUGAAGCAAGGGACAUAGUAAGAAGCUGCAACUGCCCUCCUUCCACCUUCCUGCGGGCGCUGUCCCUCUGAUCAGAAGCCUGCCAAGGGGCGGGGUGGGGGAGGAGGGGUGCUGGAAAGAACUGUAACACUCUAGCUUUGUGCAAAGCAAUUUUCCAUUACAGGAGAACUGAACAGAAGUUGAAACGCGAGGCCCAAUGCCCCGCCGCCCGGCUUGGUGGCUCGGCCGCCCGCUCACUCCCAGACUGCUGCUGGAAGCUUGCCCGCUUGGCGGCUUUGAAAGGUCUCACCCUUUCCCUGCGUUUGCAAGUGAAGGGGAGCCAGGGGAGAGCCACAUGACAAUGAGGUUGCCAGUUGACACCUUUGUGAUGUCAGCAGCCUCAGGAGACUGCCUGGCUGAGGGAGGGAGAGUCCUGCCUCUCUCCCCUUCUGGGUGGUGUGGGGGUGUUUUGUGUAUCUCGGCAAGGAAGCUAAAAGGAAAAACCACUUUCCUAAGCUCACUCAAAGAAUGAGUGGCAAAACCAGCAACCGUUGACUCGUCGAUGCCUGAGGUGACUCAGAUUCCCUAUGUUAGCCACUUCUGUAAGGAGAAUUCCUUCCAAGAUUCCACUUAUUUGUCAGAAAGAGAGAGUGUGUGCACAAGCAGGGGGAGCAGCAGGCAGAGGGAGAAGCAGACUCCCUGCCGAGCAGGGAGCCCGAUGGAUGCGGGACUCGAUCCCAGGACCCCAGGAUCAUGCCCUGAGCCGAAGGCAGAUGCUUAACCGACUGAGCCACCCAGGUGCCCCAUCAUUACUGAUUUGCUGGCGAGUUACAAUAUAGUUUAUUAGUAGCUGUUCGAGUACUGUCAGGGGCUAGCGCCAGUCCCAGAAGAUUCCAAAAGAGCUGCUUAACUAAGGUCAUCCGAGGGAAGCCGCUCAGAUACCUGUGGUUCUGAGUCCAGCAAGACCAGCAGAGGAGGUUCCCAGACCGAACAGCGCGAGGAUGUGUUUGAUGAGGCUGGGACACAGCUGCGUGGAGACAGACCUUCAGCACAACCACACAAAGGGCAUGCAGGGCAGGUAAUCUCUCUGCUCGUAAUGCCAGAUUGUAGGAGCCCAUCGCCUCCUGUCCUGCAUAGGAAAGCCCCGAAGAGGAACUUUCUUGAGACCUUCCAUGGAGGCGACAUCGGCAGCCACCUCUCGAUUCUGUCCCUAUCAGACCUGUGACUCCCAAAGCUUAGCAUUCGUUUUGACUAUAAGAGUGCUAACCCAGACAUGUCCUCAAGUGGUAGAAGAGGCACAAGAGAGCAAACAGGAACAUAUUAAAACAUGGACACCAAAGAGGUCAACAAUUUUUCUGAGGUCACGUGGACCAGAGGAAUGGAGAUAUUGGUUCUUCUGUUAUAAAAUCAAGGCACUUUCUAUUGUUCCACAGCAUAUUCAUUAAGAACAUGAAUCCCAGGAGUUUUGUCAGAGACUUCCUAGAGGUAGAUUGGUAAGCCCUGGUGACCUCUAACUAUGCUGUGACAUUGUGACAAGCUGGCUGAUAAGACCAUCCCUGCUCUCCCCGCUCUUGGGCUGAAUUGGAUUUGAGCACCUGAGCGUCUUCGUGCUUCACAGAGGAUUGUCUCGUUAGGAGGAGGUGGCUAGACCGCCAGGGCCUGCCUUGUGACCAUGUUCUUCUGGUCCUUGAAAUCCAAAUGUAACCUUCCCGUGGAUCUCCAGGAAGGCUCUUUAAAGCCUGCUGAUUCAACCAGGAAGCAUGCCUGUGUUGUUUCUACUCCUUCUCCUUCCUGCUGCCUGGGAUUGAAAUGUGAUAUCUGGAACUUCAGCUAUCCUGGGCCAUAAAUGUGGAAGCCAAGCACUGAGAUGUUGCUGUGUCAGAUGUUCUCAGAACACACAGAUCCAACUACAGCAUGACGCCCUAGGAAAUGGAGUCUGUCCCUUCAGGACGAUGCAUUGGCCAAAGCAGAAAGAUGUUCUCCUGACAAUGCCUGUGGUUCAUACCUUUCCUGUGGUGAGAGUUAAUUGUUGGGGUUUAGGUUUUUGGUCUCCUGAUUUUUGCCAAAGAAGAAAAAGAAUUCUGAAAUCUUUUGUCCUAUUUGAGAGUGACAAAAAUCCUCAGAGAUCACCCAUUCUUUCUUGGUACCAUAAAACCUUUCUGCCAAAUUCAAGGGAGGGAAAGAAAUUCUUUUGUUAUGAUAAAAUUCUUUUGAUGAGACUCUAUGGCUUUUUAAAUAAGCCCAAAUAACUUAUUCAUUCGUGUCCUAGCCAGUACUCUAGACACUGUCAUAGAAUAUACACAAACAUACAAUGGGCCACAUUUUAGAUGACUUCUGAGGGGUCACCGAUAGCGAACAGACUCUAAUCCCAAAUAAAUAAUAUUACCAAUUGGUCAAAGUAAGAAACAGAUUCGCAUAUGUACAAUAAAACCGGAAACUCAUUUGGGCUACGUGUAGAGAAUUAGCAACACAUCUUUAUUAGAUUUUUUAAAAAGUUUUGGAAAAUAAAAAAUCCUUGAGUAUCUGGUUUGAAUGAAUGAUAAAAAUUAAUUUAUAAUUAGCACAUCAGUUAUAUGUUUAUUAUCUAUUGCUACAUAACAAAUUAUCCCAAAACUUAAUGGCUUAACAUAACAAUAAACAUUUAUUAUCUUAUAUAGUUUCUGGAAAUAGAUUAGCUGAGUGGUUCUGGCUCAGGGACUAUCACUAGACUGCAGUCAAGCUGUCAGCUGAGUCUACAGUCAUCUGAAGGCCAGCCUGGGGCUGGAGGACCUGCUUCCAAGAUGGCACACCCGCAUGGCUGGAAAACUGAUACCUCAGUCCCCUUUCUAGUGAAACUUGCUAUAAGACUGUUUGAGUGUCCUCACAGCAUGACAGCUAGCUUCAUGGUCAUGAUCAUGUUCCAGAACAAGACCUGAGGGGGCAAGGCAGAAACAGCAAUGUCUUUCAUGACCUAGCAUAGGUCCCACAUCAUCACUUAUGCCAUAUUUUAUUGACCACACCAAGAAACCCUGAUACAGUGUGGGAAAGACUGCACAAGGGUGUGCAUACCAGGAGAUGGGGAUCACUUGGUGCCAUCUUGGAGGCUGACCACUGCAAGUUAUUAGUACAUAAAUUGGAAAUGAGUCAUUCAAAAAGAGAAUUGAAUUAAAUACUUUUCUAUUCUGACAAUCAGCAUCUGACUACUACUGUUAUAAAAAAAAAAUUCCAAAUGAGUGAAGCCAAAUUAUGAAUUUGAGCUCUUUUAGGAUGAGAGAUUUAUGAUCAGCAUCAAGAUGGAUCAUUAGCUCAGGGUUAUGGAAGACCACGUAUAAUUAGCUGGAUUCUGCUCUUUGCCAUCAUGAGCAUAGAGCCCUUGGGUGUUGGUACCCUACCCAGAUUCUCUGAAAUACAUAACAGGACCAUCCACAGUGAUUCCAUGCCAAUGCUUGCGUUAUCUCCAUGAGGCUACCCAGCUUGCUCAGAUCUAGUGGUGGUUUCCAACCAUUUCUCCCUAUACUGAGGAGGUACCCUAAUAUCACAUGGCACACUCUCAUGAGCAACCCUCAGAUUACGUGCACUUCCCAGACUGCUAGGUAUUACCCCAUUUUUUCCUUUUUAAUUCAAGAAACACAUUAGAAUACCAGUGAAUGAGAAAGGGGUUAUCCUAGGGAUAAACUCCAUCCUGUUCUAAUUUAUAUAAGAGAAGCACGCAUAUAAAUAAGUAAGGCAUUUGCAAAUGCUAGUGCAUUAACUAUUAGUAGUAACAAAUCUCUUUCAAGACAUUAGUGUCUUCACCCUGAGAUUGAGGGCCUCAGUAAGGACACUUGGUGUCCUCAGCUUGGUGAGUUCAAAUCUGAAACGUGGGCUGACCUGUUAGUACUUCCGUAUUUCCUGGUAGCUUGCAAGCAUCUGUCGCUGAUUGUAAGGUGAGCUGAGUGAGAGGAUCUGUGUGACAGUCUCCUGUCCAUUUAAACAGACUUGGCUGCCCCCAGCAAAUGGACUGAGAAGUAGGGAAAGCAGAGCUGUGGACAUUGGCUUGUCACCGCUGAAGUGUUUUCAGACUGUCUCCUGUCUUCCUACAUCAACUCAUUGUUUUUGUCUUUAUGUCCCUUUUUCUCCAACCCUGUUUUCUUUGUACCUUGGCUCUGGUAUCCACCAGGUCCCCGGGCUCCAAUGACCAGUGUAGAUGUGUUCGUUGAAUUCACUCUCUGGAUCUGAGCAACCUUGGCUGAACUGUGCUGAAGCGCUCCUCCCCUCACUAGCCCUUGGCAUGAGUCUGUCCCUUUUCCCGUAUAGCCCCAGUGGCCACAGGUGGGGAGCACACACCUAUUCUUCCAGGGAAAUGCAUCACUACCUCUGGGGGAAAACAAGUCAGGGACCAUUAAUUAGGAUCAUUAUCAUAAUUAUAAUCCAUCAAAUGAAUUUUCACUUAUUAUAAUUCAAUUCAAAUUCAGAUAUGUGUUCCUUAAGGCUUUUUUAUUCCUGUGUUAAUUCAUGAGAAUAUUUCUGGGGUGAGGUUUCUUUUCUUCCAUUUAGCACAUGAGAAAAUCGAAGUCAAGGGAAGGUAAGCCACACAGCCACUAAGUUACGGGGACAGGAUUAGACUUCUGACAUGUGGUCUAAGUGAUUUUCACAAUGCUAUAAAUGUUACUGAAAAAUCUCAGAAUGGAAAGUGUCAUAGACUAAUCAGUGGAUUAUUUGAUGGGAGUGCUUAAUGAUGAAUCUUUUAAGAAAACUGGACUUUAUUUUUUUUAAAGAAAAUGUGAAAUAACUUUCACCAUUAUGAUGUAAUAAUUGUCUUCAAGCAUUAGAAAAUUAAAUUAGACUUAGUUAAGUUGGAUAGAAGGGCAGUGGCAAGGAGCACCUGGCUGGCUCAGGCGGUAGAGCAUGAGACUCUUGAUCUGAGGGUCAUGAGUUCAAGCCCCACGCUGGGUGUAGAGCCUACUUCAAAACACACAUACACACACACACACACACAACUAAAAAUUAGAAGGGCAGUGGCAAAAGUAUCAGAAUUAUGGGGUAUUUGGAAAGAAGUACAGUUGUAGUUCUUCAUAUAUAUACUUCAGUAAAGAUAGCGAAGAACCAAACUACUCAAAAGUGUUUUUAAUUUUCAAGUAUUGACUGCCAGCCUACUGUGCAUAAGGCAUUUACCUUGACAUGGGAGACCCGUGGGGUCCAUAUUUUGUGGAAUAUUAUAACCGCGAGUAUCCUUUGAGGGCUAUUCUAAUAAAUUCUCUGUGAAACAUUUUUGUAUUUUGCAUGGAGAUGUUGUGGAGAACAUGGUGGGCCACCCAAUGCUGUGUUCCUUCCUAAUGAUGGAGAGAUCUUUUGGAUCUCAGUGUGUGAAAGAGCUUCUCAAAAACGGGUGUAUUAAAAACAGAGCUGCUUCACGUGAAGGUGAUGGUUUCCAUUUGGAACCCUGUCCCGGCUUUGCCUUUUCUCUGUCAUCCCGAAGGGAGAAAUAUCUUCCAUAGCUUCAAGAGGGAGAAACCGAGGAUCAGAAAGUUGCCUAACUUGCUCAAAGUCUCGCCUGAGAGAACGAGGCCCUGGGAACCGGACCAAGCUGGAAUCAGGGAGUAGAUAGUGUGACAUGAAGUGCUCGAGCCACCCACCGUGGGCUUCCAGGAUGGCGCCCUGGCUGUGGGAGCACCGUGACCCUGGGAGGCUGACACGGACUCCGUUCUCUUGACAUGACACUGGCUGGAGAAGCUCCAGCUCUGAAAUGUUCUAUUUUUCCAUGCUGGUGGUUCAGCCAGCACAUGGGAAAAUGGACUUGGGUGGGGCCGCCUGGCAGCAGGUCCAAACUGAAGUGGGAAUCGGUCCUUGAAGGCCAACUGUGAAAACGUACGUGGGCCCACAGCCCAGAUGCCCAAAGGACACUGGGAAGCAUGGAAAUGGGAUCUACAACACUCUUAGUGACACACGGAAAACACCCCUUAUCCAACUUGGUGUUUCGUUUUUUUUUUUGUGCGCUGACGUUGGGCCAUGGGAAGGGCCACUGGACAUCUGCUCAGACCAGUGAGAAAUGGCUGAGACAGAGCAUGUGGAUGAACCUAUUUCAAAGAUGCUGUAGAUUUUUGUGCUUGAUUGAUAGAUACAUUUCUUAAAAAGAAAAGAUAAGAAAUUGUAGGCUUCUUAUGAGGCAAAGUAGCUAGCUUUGAGUGGGCUUCUGGGAUGUACCAAUCACUGAUUACUUACGUCUUCUAAUCGCUCCGGUACUUCUGGAAGCUAGGCGUCCUCCGCCUGGGGGGUGGCGGGGGAAGGCUGGGGCUGAGAAGAGAGGGCCAGGAACCUCCACUGAAACAUCCACUGCCCUGCUUCUCAACUUGGUCCCACACUGGAAUCCCUUGGGGAUAUUAUAGAAAGACUGAUGCCUGGGCCGCCUUCCAGGCAAAUCAAAUCAGAAUGUCUGCACCCCCCCAUCCCUACGUUUUAACACCCUCCCCAGGCAUCCUGCUGUGUAGCCAAGGUUGAGAAACACCACACUAGUCGAAUCUGACAUAUGAAGAAAUUAAGUGUCCAGACCAGACUCUCACUUAGCCCUUCUUCUGCACAUUAAAUAGCUUCUCUCUCUCUCUCUCUCGCUCGCUCUUUUUUUUUUUUUUGUAAUUUUGCCAUAAAUUAAAAGCACACUUCAAAAUGUAGGUUUACCAAGUACCUUUAAGAAAUGGAUUUCCUGGGGCGCCUGGGUGGCUCAGUCGUUAAGCGUCUGCCUUCGGCUCAGGUCAUGAUCCUGGGAUCCUGGGAUCGAACCCCGCAUCGAGCCCUGCAUCGGGCUCCUUGCUCGGCAGGGAGCCCGCUUCUCCCUCUCCCACUCCCCCUGCUUGUGUUCCCUCUCUCGUUGUGUCUCUCUCUGUCAAAUAAAUAAAAUCUUAAAAAAAAAAAAAGAAAUGGAUUUCCUUUUAAGGCAAACAGGGCUUUAAUCACAACUGCGCUGAUGUUUUCCACGUGAGCCUCGGGCCCAUGUGAGUUCAUUGUGUCUGGGACCAGCUGUGUCGAAUGUGGGCUCCUUCAGUGACUUCUCCAUGGCUGGCCCGGCAGGCAGGCCCUCUGUUUCUCCUCCAGAAACCUCGCACACUCCUGUGAUUCACCUUGUUGAUGGAAGACACUCUCCGUGAACCUCUAGCUGGUGGUACAUGGAUCUACCAGAGACACAUUUGUCACAGAACUCACUUCAUCUGGGGACCACGUGUCUAGGAGAGCUACGGUUUUUUGGCAGAGGGCACAUCCAGACGCUGUGCGAGUAUGACCCUAUGGACAUCUGGUUACCAACCAGAUGCCAGCCAGCCGUGUAAACUUACUGUUUUUUUGUGCAGCCCACCGUGCUGGCCACCUUGCAACUGAAAUUCUUAGCUGGAUUUACCAACAAUACCACCUAAGCACCUUUAAACAAGAUUUCAAGGUGUUCUGGUCUCUGAAAAAAUUUGAAUUUCUUCUUGUGUUAAAAGAAUGGACAAAUCGGGGCACCUGGGUGGCUCAGUCAGCUGAGCAUCUGACUCUUGAUUUCAGCUCAGGUCAUAAUCUCAGGGUUGUGAGGUUGGGUCGCAUGUUGGGCUCUGCGCUCAGCAUGGGGUCGGCUUGAGAGUCUCCCUCUCCCCCUCCCCAUGCCUGUGUGCUCUCUCUCUUUCUCUAAAUAAAUAAAUA